GGUGUCAUAUGGGUGACAUCACUCCCCCAGCUAGCCAAUGGCUGGGGGCCGGCUCCGCCCAUCUUCCUUUAUUAACUCGGAGGCCCCGCCCCUCCACCCCGCCCUCCGGGCUGCUUUGCAAAGAUGGGGGUGGGGGGAGAGGAGGCAUGUCUAGAAAUAUGUUAUUUUUAAAAAAUCCGCGUGUGUGCACAGAUGCGCCUGUUCCCGGGAUGCUCGGAAGCGGCGCGCGGCACCACGGGGAGCGGGCGGCCCGGGGCGAACCGGGAUGGUUCGGGCGCCGGCGCUAACCGAGGACCGGGUCCCGGGAGAGGCCCCGCGCGCCUUUGUGCCCAGUCCCCGGGAGGCCCGACGGCGACAGCGGACGGCGCGCGCUCACUCCCCGGGUGCACACACUCGGGCACGCGCCCAGCCUGAGACGGCGGCCUCCGCCCGGCUCGCGGUCAGCCGCGCCCGGCCUGCCCCGGGGUGGGCGCAGCUGCUCCCCGGCGAGCCCCUCGCGGGGCUCGGCCGCUCCCCCGGGUCGCCGCCCCGAGCCCGCCCGGUAGCCCCGCGGCGGCCCUGGCCGACGGAAGGUGGCGCUUGAAGACAGCAACCUUCCCGGCACGUGGGCUCUGCUCUCCUUUUCCCUUUCUCCCUUUUUGUAAGGCAAAGAAAUCAAUUUAAAGCUCGAGAGGCGGUGAGCUCCCUCCCCCGUUUUGCAUUUUUCUGUUUUGUCCUUUUUCUCCGUCUGUUUUCCCUCCUCGGUGGUGUUUGGGGACGCGGCUGUGCGGGUUGGGCUGCGCCGCGCCCCCGCGCGCCCCGCCCCGGGCGGGGGCCGGAGUAACGGUCUGCGGGGCCCUCGGGUUCAAGCUGGCCACUCCCAGGGCUGGCUCCGGAGCGGGCUCUGGGUCCCGCAGGCUCCAGCAAGCCCGCGCCCCGCCCGGCGUCCCUGCGAGGGGCCCGGCGCCCUCCUUCCCUUCUCCCUCUGCUCCCCGCCCCUCCUCUCCCCGCCCCGUCCUCUCCCCGCCCCUCCGCCGCUCCUUUCUCCUUCCCAGGCCUCCUCUUCCUCUUUGUCCUUCCCCCAUCCUCGGUCGCCAGCGCUUCUCCGGCAGCCUCGUCCUGAAAUCGUGCGAUUGUGAGCUAGAAGCCUUCUGGGUCACUCAUAAACCAAAGAGAAAAUAAGGUGCACUCGAGUUUCCCGUCUAAAUAUUUUCCCUGGAGAUGGAAAGGUGCGCUGGCGGCCGGGGAGCCGCGACCUGGGGCGCGCUGGGCCUCGCAGAGCAGCCGCGGACCCCGGCGAUCGUGCCGUGUUCGUCUCCUUUGUGUUUCUUUAUUGAGUCCCUACUACCUCUACGGAUAUUCUGGGGGCAAUUAAAGAAAAUCACCGCUUCAUAGGCAGCACAUAUUUCCCAUAGAAAUGUGGAAUGUAAGAAAGGCACAUAAAGCAAUCCAAGUUGCCUGCAGAUAUCCACAGCCUACUUCAGUCUCAGUAAUGCUCUUUUAACCUGGUGCAUCAGUUUAAGGGAAGACAUGAGAUCAUGGGUUUAAGUGAGGCUUCAUCAUGCCAAGACAACGUGAUCAGUUAUUCCCAACCUAUAUAACUCACAUACACUGGAGGAAAUAUCUUCAUGGAAUUAAAACCACAUGGAGUAACAUUUCACGUAAGCAGAAUUCAGGAAUGAUUUCAGUAAUUCCAUCCCAAACACACACAGGCAAAGGGAGUGAAGAUUUCUUCAGCAACAUGGUGGCAGAAAGAUCAUGAAAAGAUCUAGGCCAGUCCAAGCUCACUGCAGUUAAAUCUUCAGUCUCCAGCACUGCACUUGGGAAAGCGUCAAGGAGUUGAAUGUAUAUGUAAUUGGAGUGCCAGAAGAAGAGAACUGAGAGAGAGGGGCAGAACAGCUCAUGAGGGGGAAAACCCACUACAUACAAACAAGAAUACUGCAGACUCCUCAUCAGAAUCUAUGCUACCUGUAAAGGCUUGUAAAAGCACAGAGCUGCUCUCACCAUGCAGCCAAAGAAGAAAUGAGGAUAUCGGUCCUAUAACUGCAAGGAACUGAAUGCUGCCAACCACCUGAACGGACUUGGGCUACUGAGGAUGAUGCAGCAUGAAGGCCCCCCUCAGAUGCUGGUGCAAUGAUCUUGGACUUCCCAACCUCCAGAACCAUGAGCCAAACAAAUUUCUAUUGUUUAUAAAUUACCCCGUCUCAAGUAUUCUGUUAUAGCAACACAACUGGACUAAGACAGAGGGUUACACGUAUCUUUCACAGGAAUUCCUUGGGGCUUAAUACAAAUCCUUGAGAGUUCUAGCCCAGAUGCAGCCUAGAAAUGUGAAGAUGAAGGAGGUAGGUAGUAGGGUUGUUAUUAAUCCUAGGGGAAACCCUCCACUAUGGGAUUCUGAAAUCAGCAGAUAAAUGCUGCAGCCCCCAGACUUGUGAAGAAAUUUUUGAGAUUCAUCUUCUCUGGUUCUUCAGCACAUCACCAAGGCAUGGACCUGCAGUUGGCUCCAGCUAUAACUAGCUCAAUGAUGCAUCCUUCACUGUUUUUCUUUCUUUCCCCAUUUUUCUCUGUAUGUUUCCUUACUUUAGCUUCCUGGGAUCAACUCCCAAAUAAGCUACCUGAAGCCAACUGUUUGCCCAAUACACUUUCUUCAGGAAACCCAGUCUGAGACAUAAGAAAACAAAUCAAAUGCUAAUUCAGUGGUUCAGUUGGUAAAAAUAACAGAGACUCAGCCUAGUUGGCACUAGUGGAGAUAAAGAAAAGAGGACAACUUUGUUAUGCAUUUUAUAGACAGUCAUGAGGCAUGCAAAUUGGUGUAAUGUAUGCAGAAAAAGAAAGGGAAAUUUUCAGUGUGAUACUACAGUUAGUCCACUGUAUACCUAGAAUUGUCUUUUUCAGAGAAAGAUGGUGGCCUUUGGAAAAGGUACAGAUUUGGGAGGAAGAUCGUUAAUUCAAUUUGGGCAUGUUAUGUCCAAACUACAUUAAAUACUUGAGAACUAUUUCUUUAAUAAUGGAUGAGUGAAGUCAGUUCAUUUCCAAGCUUCUUAUUUGUCUUAUCUGUGAAAGAAAAAUUGUGAUGUCUAGUACCCAGAUAUGUAAAAAGUAAAUGUAAUCUACCACAUUAAAGCUCAAAAUGCUCGAUGUUUUUGCAAAUAUAAAAUAAUGUGACUUACUUUAAAGAUAAUAAAUUAAAUAUUAAACAUGGC
rnacentral:lncRNA from 10 species